CUCUUGCGAUCAAUACCUCUAUCCCAGUCCACAUUACACGAUCUCGGCCUUCUUCGUGUAACUCUUGAAUUGAAAGGUUCGGUGAUUUGAACAAAGAGCAGUAUUGAAGCUUUAAGAUCCAUCUAUCAGCCUUGGAAGAAUCAUGAUCACAGACGUCCAGCUAGCAGCGUUUGCGAACAUCCUAGGUGUCUCCCUAUUUCUUCUUGUUGUCCUUUAUCACUUUGUUGCAGUCAACAAUCCCAAGAGGAAGGAAGAAUGAGCAACUUGCUUGAAAGUAACGUAA